CGUAAAUACAGGUCUUAAUGCCUCAUUAAUCGAGUGCUAUUUACUUCUAAAUAAGCCAUAAUGAGCUUUAAUUUUCAUUUCAUCGAUGCAUUUAAAUUUUCAGCAUAAUACUUGAGGAGUUUAUUUGAUAUGUAAACACAGAAUACUUUUACUAAUAUGGCUGGGAAAGUUUCAACCAUGGUCUUUAAUAACAGGAAAUUCAACUCUGAGUUACAUACCUUUAGGCAUUCAUACAAUGGAACAAAUUACAACAAAUACAAACAUGUCUUGGAGAUUCUUCUCUUCCAAAUAAAAAGUGCCAGUAGCUGCACGCUUUGCUACUUCUGGAAAAGGAAUACCAGAUCCUGAGUAUCUGCACAAUUACAACUCUGUGAAACAAG